AAGAAGAAGAAAUGGAAGAAGUAGAAGAAGAAGAAGAAGAAGGAAGAAGAAGAAGAAGAAGAAGAAGAAGAAGAAGAAGAAGAAGAAGGAGGAGGAGGAGGAAGACGGCUUCUCGAGAGCUCCUCCCGAUUGUCCUUUAGCUUUCGACGCGACACGAACGCGGCCUGUACCUUCUAAGUACUCUACGCGGUAUUCGCUGAGGGAGGCCGACGAGACCCUUUGGAUAUCUCGGACCACCACCCCCUAACGACCAAAGGAAUUUCACCAAACGAGCAAAAAGCCCUUAUCCCUUUGCACGUAGAACAAAAGUUCUCGUCGAAUCAUGCAUUACGGUGAUACGAGUGACACUUGAGAGUUUGCGAUAGAAAUAGCAAUA